rnacentral:rRNA from 1 species
AGGACGAACGCUGGCGGCGUGCCUAAUACAUGCAAGUCGAACGGUCUUUCUAUGGAAGCUUGCUUCCACUGAAAAGAUAGUGGCGAACGGGUGAGUAACAACGUGGGUAACCUGCCCAUAAGAGGGGGGAUAACAUCCGGAAACGGGUGCUAAUACCGCAUAGUUUUCUUGAUCGCAUGAUCGGGAAAGGAAAGACGGCCUUUGUGCUGUCGCUUAUGGAUGGACCCGCGGCGUAUUAGUUAGUUGGUGAGGUAACGGCUCACCAAGACGAUGAUACGUAGCCGACCUGAGAGGGUGAUCGGCCACAUUGGGACUGAGACACGGCCCAAACUCCUACGGGAGGCAGCAGUAGGGAAUCUUCCGCAAUGGACGAAAGUCUGACGGAGCAACGCCGCGUGAGUGAAAGAAGGUUUUCGGAUCGUAAAACUCUGUUGUCAGAGAAGAACAAGUUGGAGAGUAACUGCUCCAGCCUUGACGGUAUCUGACCAGAAAGCCACGGCUAACUACGUGCCAGCCGCCGC